rnacentral:rRNA from 1 species
AUCGAACGCUGGCGGCGUGUUUAAUACAUGCAAGUCGAACGGACUUAGGGGAGCUUGCUCCCCGAAGGUUAGUGGCGGACGGGUGAGUAACACGUGAGCAACCUGCCCUUCGGAGGGGGACAACAGUGGGAAACUACUGCUAAUACCGCAUAACAUAUUCUUGUGGCAUCGCAGGAAUAUCAAAGAUUUAUCGCCGAAGGAUGGGCUCGCGUCUGAUUAGCUAGUUGGUGGUGUAAUGGACCACCAAGGCGACGAUCAGUAGCCGGACUGAGAGGUUGGCCGGCCACAUUGGGACUGAGAUACGGCCCAGACUCCUACGGGAGGCAGCAGUAGAGAAUAUUGGGCAAUGGGGGCAACCCUGACCCAGCAACGCCGCGUGAAGGAAGAAGGCUUUCGGGUUGUAAACUUCUUUGACGAGGGACGAAACAAAUGACGGUACCUCGAAAACAAGCCACGGCUAACUACGUGCCAGCAGCCGCGGUAAUACGUAGGUGGCAAGCGUUGAUCGGAUUUACUGGGUGUAAAGGGCGCGUAGGCGGGUAUUCAAGUCAGAUGUGUAAUCUAUGGGCUUAACCCAUAAACUGCAUUUGAAACUGUUUACCUUGAGUGAUGGAGAGGCAGGCGGAAUUCCUAGUGUAGCGGUGAAAUGCGUAGAUAUUAGGAGGAACACCAGUGGCGAAGGACUGACCCCCUCCGUGCCGGAGUUAACACAAUAAGUAUUCCACCUGGGGAGUACGGCCGCAAGGCUGAAACUCAAAGGAAUUGACGGGACCCCGCACAAGCAGUGGAUUAUGUGGUUUAAUUCGAUGCUACACGAAGAACCUUACCAGGGCUUGACAUGGAGAUGACCGCCGUAGAGAUACGGUUUCCCCUUCGGGGGCAUCUCACACAGGUGGUGCAUGGUUGUCGUCAGCUCGUGUCGUGAGAUGUUGGGUUAAGUCCCGCAACGAGCGCAACCCCUGUUGCUAGUUGCUACGCGAGAGCACUCUAGCGAGACUGCCGUUGAUAAAACGGAGGAAGGAGGGGACGAUGUCAAAUCAUCAUGCCCUUUAUGUCCUGGGCUACACACGUAAUACAAUGGCGUUUAACAAUGGGAAGCGAAGCCGCGAGGCGGAGCAAAUCCCCAAAAGGCGCCUCAGUUCGGAUCGCAGGCUGCAAUCCGCCUGCGUGAAGUCGGAAUUGCUAGUAAUCGCGGAUCAGCUAGCCGCGGUGAAUACGUUCCCGGGGUUUGUACACACCGCCCGUCACACCAUGAGAGCCGGGGACACCCGAAGCCCGUAGCCUAACCUUUUUAUAUUGGAGGGCGCGGUCGAAGGUGGAUUUGGUAAUUGGGGUG